rnacentral:rRNA from 1 species
GACGAACGCUGGCGGCGUGUUUAACACAUGCAAGUCGAACGGAAAGGCCCUGCUUGCAGGGUACUCGAGUGGCGAACGGGUGAGUAACACGUGGGUGAUCUGCCCUGCACUUCGGGAUAAGCCUGGGAAACUGGGUCUAAUACCGGAUAGGAGCCAUUUUUAGUGUGAUGGUUGGAAAGUUUUUUCGGUGUAGGAUGAGCUCGCGGCCUAUCAGCUUGUUGGUGGGGUAAUGGCCUACCAAGGCGGCGACGGGUAGCCGGCCUGAGAGGGUGGACGGCCACAUUGGGACUGAGAUACGGCCCAGACUCCUACGGGAGGCAGCAGUGGGGAAGAUUGCACAAUGGGCGCAAGCCUGAUGCAGCGACGCCGCGUGGGGGAUGACGGCCUUCGGGUUGUAAACUCCUUUCGCUAGGGACGAAGCUUUUUGUGACGGUACCUAGAUAAGAAGCACCGGCUAACUACGUG